UACGUAGGUCCCGAGCGUUGUCCGGAUUUAUUGGGCGUAAAGCGAGCGCAGGUGGUUUAUUAAGUCUGGUGUAAAAGGCAGUGUCUCAACCAUUGUAUGCAUUGGAAACUGGUAGACUUGAGUGCAGGAGAGGAGAGUGGAAUUCCAUGUGUAGCGAUGAAAUGCGUAGAUAUAUGGAGGAACACCGGUGGCGAAAGCGGCUCUCUGGCCUGUAACUGACACUGAGGCUCGAAAGCGUGGGGAGCAAACAGG
rnacentral:rRNA from 1 species